rnacentral:rRNA from 1 species
CAUGCAAGUCGAGCGGUAGCACAGAGAGCUUGCUCUCGGGUGACGAGCGGCGGACGGGUGAGUAAUGUCUGGGAAACUGCCUGAUGGAGGGGGAUAACUACUGGAAACGGUAGCUAAUACCGCAUAACGUCGCAAGACCAAAGAGGGGGACCUUCGGGCCUCUUGCCAUCAGAUGUGCCCAGAUGGGAUUAGCUAGUAGGUGGGGUAAUGGCUCACCUAGGCGACGAUCCCUAGCUGGUCUGAGAGGAUGACCAGCCACACUGGAACUGAGACACGGUCCAGACUCCUACGGGAGGCAGCAGUGGGGAAUAUUGCACAAUGGGCGCAAGCCUGAUGCAGCCAUGCCGCGUGUGUGAAGAAGGCCUUCGGGUUGUAAAGCACUUUCAGCGAGGAGGAAGGCGGUGAGGUUAAUAACCUCAUCGAUUGACGUUACUCGCAGAAGAAGCACCGGCUAACUCCGUGCCAGCAGCCGCGGUAAUACGGAGGGUGCAAGCGUUAAUCGGAAUUACUGGGCGUAAAGCGCACGCAGGCGGUCUGUCAAGUCGGAUGUGAAAUCCCCGGGCUCAACCUGGGAACUGCAUUCGAAACUGGCAGGCUAGAGUCUUGUAGAGGGGGGUAGAAUUCCAGGUGUAGCGGUGAAAUGCGUAGAGAUCUGGAGGAAUACCGGUGGCGAAG